rnacentral:rRNA from 1 species
AGUGAACGCUGGCGGUAGGCCUAACACAUGCAAGUCGAACGGCAGCACAGUAAGAGCUUGCUCUUACGGGUGGCGAGUGGCGGACGGGUGAGGAAUACAUCGGAAUCUACUUUUUCGUGGGGGAUAACGUAGGGAAACUUACGCUAAUACCGCAUACGACCUACGGGUGAAAGCAGGGGAUCUUCGGACCUUGCGCGAUUGAAUGAGCCGAUGUCGGAUUAGCUAGUUGGCGGGGUAAAGGCCCACCAAGGCGACGAUCCGUAGCUGGUCUGAGAGGAUGACCCCCCCCACUGGCCCUGACACCCGUCCCCGCUCCCUCCGGGAGGCCCCAGGGGGAAAUUUUGACCAAAGGGCGCAACCCUGACCCAGCCAACCCGCGGGGGUGAAGAAGGCCUUCGGGUUGUAAAGCCCUUUUUUUGGAAAAGAAAACCAGCAGGUUAAAACCCCGCUUUUCUGACGGUACCCAAAAAAUACGCCCCGGCUACUUCCGU